CACCGCGGUUAAACGAGAGGCCCUAGUUGAUAGUACAACGGCGUAAAGGGUGGUUAAGGAACGCAAGCAAUAAAGCCGAAUGGCCCUUUGGCUGUCAUACGCUUCUAGGUGUCCGAAGCCCAAUAUACGAAAGUAGCUUUAGAAAAGCCCACCUGACACCACGAAAGCUGAGAAA
rnacentral:rRNA from 1 species